rnacentral:ncRNA from 1 species
GCUUAUCAAGAGUGACAGAGGGAACAGGCCCUAUGAUGUCCGGCAACCUGCUCGAUGGGAGUAAGGUGCCAAAUCCUGCGGUAAUAAGCCGAAAGAUGAGA